rnacentral:rRNA from 1 species
UACGUAGGGUCCGAGCGUUGUCCGGAAUUAUUGGGCGUAAAGAGCUCGUAGGCGGUUUGUCGCGUCUGCUGUGAAAUCCCGAGGCUCAACCUCGGGCCUGCAGUGGGUACGGGCAGACUGGAGUGCGGUAGGGGAGAAUGGAAUUCCUGGUGUAGCGGUGGAAUGCGCAGAUAUCAGGAGGAACACCAAUGGCGAAGGCAGCUCUCUGGGACGGUACUGACGCUGAGACGCGAAAGCGUGGGGAGCGAACAGG